rnacentral:rRNA from 1 species
GACGAACGCUGGCGGCGUGCUUUAUACAUGCAAGUCGAACGAUGAAGUUCCUUCGGGAAUGGAUUAGUGGCGAACGGGUGAGGAACACGUGAGAAACCUGCCUUUCAUUCUGGGAUAACACCGGGAAACCGGUGCUAAUACCGGAUACUCCGUCUUGGCGGCAUCGCCGAGCCGGGAAAAAAUUUUGAUGAAAGAUGGUCUCGCGGCCUAUCAGCUAGUUGGUGAGGUAAAGGCUCACCAAGGCGACGACGGGUAGCCGGCCUGAGAGGGCGACCGGCCACACUGGGACUGAGACACGGCCCAGACUCCUACGGGAGGCAGCAGUAGGGAAUAUUGGGCAAUGGGCGCAAGCCUGACCCAGCGACGCCGCGUGAGGGAUGAAGGUCUUCGGAUUGUAAACCUCUUUCAGUAGGGAAGAAGCGAAAGUGACGGUACCUAAAGAAGAAGCACCGGCUAACUAUGUGCCAGCCGCCGCUGUAA